rnacentral:rRNA from 1 species
AGUGAACGCUGGCGGUAGGCCUAACACAUGCAAGUCGAACGGCAGCACAGGAGAGCUUGCUCUCUGGGUGGCGAGUGGCGGACGGGUGAGGAAUACAUCGGAAUCUGCCCAGUCGUGGGGGAUAACGUAGGGAAACUUACGCUAAUACCGCAUACGACCUUCGGGUGAAAGAGGGGGAUCGCAAGACCUCUCGCGAUUGGAUGAGCCGAUGUCGGAUUAGCUAGUUGGCGGGGUAAUGGCCCACCAAGGCGACGAUCCGUAGCUGGUCUGAGAGGAUGAUCAGCCACACUGGAACUGAGACACGGUCCAGACUCCUACGGGAGGCAGCAGUGGGGAAUAUUGGACAAUGGGCGAAAGCCUGAUCCAGCCAUACCGCGUGGGUGAAGAAGGCCUUCGGGUUGUAAAGCCCUUUUGUUGGGAAAGAAAUCUUUCAGGCUAAUACCCUGGGAGGAUGACGGUACCCAAAGAAUAAGCACCGGCUAACUUCGUG